rnacentral:lncRNA from 1 species
GAACUAAAAAAUAAAUAUUAAAAUUUUUAAAAAAAGUCCUUUGGGUAUAGACUGAGGAGUGGGAUAGCUGGGUCAAAUGGUGGUUUCAUUCCCAGUUUUCGACUCCUAUAGCGCAAGAAUAUCAAGAAUCAAUAAAUGGGAUGGAUUCAAACUAAAAAGCUUCUUCUCAGCGAAAGAAUUAAUCAGUGAAGUGAAUAGAGAGCCCACUAAUGGGGAACAAAUUCUUACCACAUGCAUGUCAGAGAACUAAUCUCUAGAAUAUAUAUAAAGAACUCAAAAAUCUUAACACCAAAAAAAAAGAAAUAACCCAAUCAAUAAAGGGCCAAGGAACUGAACAGACACUUCUCAGAAGAGGAUAUACAAUCAACAAAUAUAUGAAAAAAUGCUCAUCAUCUCUAGCAAUCAGAGAAAUGCAAAUCAAAACUACUCUAAGAUAUCAUCUCACUCCAGUCAGAAUGACAGCUAUUAUGAAGACAAACAACUAUAAGUGUUGGUGAGGAUGUGGGGAAAAAGGCACACUGCUGGUGGGACUGCAAGUUGGUGCAGCCAAUAUGGAAAUCAGUAUGGAGAAUCCUUCCAAGAAAUUUAUAACCACAUUUCUCAUGUUAAAUCUUUUGCUUAGGGGCUGGGGCUCAG